rnacentral:rRNA from 1 species
AGGCAGCAGUGAGGAAUAUUGGUCAAUGGGCGAGAGCCUGAACCAGCCAAGUCGCGUGAGGGAUGACGGUCCUAUGGAUUGUAAACCUCUUUUGUCGGGGAGUAACGUGCGGGACGGGUCCCGUAUUGAGAGUACCCGAAGAAAAAGCAUCGGCUAACUCC